rnacentral:rRNA from 1 species
AGGGAAUAUUGGACAAUGGGGGCAACCCUGAUCCAGCCAUGCCGCGUGAGUGAAGAAGGCCCUCGGGUUGUAAAGCUCUUUUGUCCGGAAAGAAAAGCAUUCGGUGAAUACCCGGAUGUUCUGACGGUACCGGAAGAAUAAGCACCGGCUAACUUCGUGCCAGCAGCCGCGGUAAUACGAAGGGUGCAAGCGUUACUCGGAAUUACUGGGCGUAAAGCGUGCGUAGGUGGUUGUUUAAGUCUGAUGUGAAAGCCCUGGGCUCAACCUGGGAAAGGCAUUGGAAACUGGGCAGCUAGAGUGCGGUAGAGGGUAGUGGAAUUCCCGGUGUAGCAGUGAAAUGCGUAGAGAUCGGGAGGAACAUCUGUGGCGAAGGCGACUGCCUGGACCAGCACUGACACUGAGGCACGAAAGCGUGGGGAGCAAACA